CACACAUCUGUCUCUGUGUCAGCCUGAACCCAAAGUCAGAGCAGACGCUGGAAACAAGCCCUUGUGGCCAUCACAGACCUGCUAAACACAGGCACAGCUUUCCUGUCAGCUGCAGGAAUUCAGACAUUUGAAGCAAAGCCCUCUAAGCCUCAUAGAGGCAUUUCCUCCCCCUCCACAGAGGAAGAUAAGAAUUUGCCAUGAGGAAAAUGCAGUCCCAAGAACCAGUAAAGAGCAACAGCAAGGAGAAAAAAAUGCAAGAAACUCCUGGAGCAGCAAAGAAAUCAGAUGACGUACUCAGCAAUGGCAACAAGGACAAGCCUCAUCCCUGGGCCAAAUGUGAUUUUGAAGGUUCUUCCCAUGAUGAACUCUUGUUUUCGGAGUGCUGGACUGGUGAGUGAAGAAAUAAAGUGUUACUGUCAGUCCCUGGUGACUAAAACCUACGGCUUCUGGCAAAAUAAAUUUGGGCAGAAACUUGACAAUCACUUUCAUCUCCCAAUAUGAGUCUGAUGCUGCAUGGAAGAG
rnacentral:lncRNA from 1 species